rnacentral:rRNA from 1 species
UACAGGAGGGGGCAAGCGUUAUUCGGAAUUAUUGGGCGUAAAGGGCGCGUAGGCGGCCUGACAAGUGGAAGGUGAAAUCCCUCGGCUUAACCGAGGAACUGCCCUCCAAACUGUUGGCUUGAGACCGGGAGAGGUGAGUGGAAUUCCAGUGUAGCGGUGAAAUGCGUAGAUAUUGGGAGAACACCAGUGGCGAAGGCGGCUCACUGGACCGGUACUGGACGCUGAGGCGCGAAAGCGUGGGGAGCAAACGGGG